CCUACGGGAGGCAGCAGUGAGGAAUAUUGGUCAAUGGACGAGAGUCUGAACCAGCCAAGUAGCGUGAAGGAUGACUGCCCUAUGAGUUGUAAACUUCUUUUAUAAGGGAAUAAAACGAGGCACGUGUGCCUUUUUGCAUGUACUUUAUGAAUAAGGAUCGGCUAACUCCGUGCCAGCAGCCGCGGUAAUACGGAGGAUCCGAGCGUUAUCCGGAUUUAUUGGGUUUAAAGGGAGCGUAGAUGGGUUGUUAAGUCAGUUGUGAAAGUUUGCGGCUCAACCGUAAAAUUGCAAUUGAUACUGGCAGUCGUGAGUACAGUUGAGGUAGGCGGAAUUCGUGGUGUAGCGGUGAAAUGCUUAGAUAUCACGAAGAACCCCGAUUGCGAAGGCAGCUUACUAAACUGUGACUGACAUUGAUGCUCGAAAGUGUGGGUAUCAAACAGGAUUAGAUACCCCUGUAGUC
rnacentral:rRNA from 1 species